AUACUUCUUUUUUCCUGUAUCAUCAGCACCAUAUUUCUUCUCCAAAGUGUCCCAUAUGAAUUUAGCAGAUUUAUAAUUUAUAAUCAAAUCAAAGAGAGGGUUAGUCAUAUGGUUAAGCAGAUGCCCUCUUACUGUUUUAUUAUCUUUUUCAAAUUUCUUCUUAGCAUCAUCAUCAACAACGUCAAUAUUAGCAGCAUUAGAACUAUUAGCAACAAUAUCAGUAGGAGGAUCGUUAAACAAAGCAUAAUCAACUUCUAAUUGCUCAAAGAAAAUUAAAAGUUUCUGGGCCCAACGCUUAUAAUUAUUUCCAUCUAAAGGCUCAAGCUUUGAGAGAUCAGGAAGUGUUUUAUUCAAAGCGAUAGCCGUUAGUCAAUAUUAUACGAAAUCACUUUCAAAUAAUAAGAAAAAGGAGUAGAUAAUAUUGACUAAGAACAACAAGGAAAUAAGACUACAACUUAUCAAAAAUACUGUGUCGUGGCAAGCCGCUGCCUUGAAAGUGAUUUCAGCCCGACUGAGUACAAAUCGUUAAGGCCGGUCGCUCCCCAAGGUUCCAUAUCACUUCCAAACACGUGCACUCGUGGCUGGAAGUUUAGAAUUUGCACAAAAAUAGUUGCCCAGGAAGAAGAGAAGAUGAAGGCUUUUUAUGUGUUGG
rnacentral:lncRNA from 1 species